rnacentral:lncRNA from 1 species
UCGGCGGUUGUUGCCGUGCUGACCGCCUUAAUCGUAAUGAUCGUGGCUGGGUCAGUGUUCUCUUCCGGAUGUUCCAGCUGAGUUGUAGUGUCGGCUUCGGACUCAUGUUGAGUUUCGACACCCAAAGCGCUUGCGUCAGCAGACGAUGUUAAAUCAUCUUUUCUUGAAACGUCGGUCGAAGAUUUAUCAAUCUUCGUGCGUUUGCGAUUUGCCGUUGCAGAGGUCGUCAUCUGUCUUAGCUUGUGUUCCACGAGGAAGCACAGUCGCGACU